UCCUGGCCAGAGGAAAAACCCUUUCACCUGUAAAGGGUUAAGAAGCUAGGAUAACCUUGCCAGCACCUGACCAAAAUGACCAAUGAGGAGACAAGAUACUUUCAAAGCUGGAGGGGCCGGGUGGGGGAGGGAGAGAAACAAAGGUUCUCUUGGUCUGUGUGAUGCUUUUCCCAGGAACAGAAAAGGAAUGGAGUCUUAGAACUUAGUUUUGCCUAGAGGGAUUCUCUAUGUUUUGAAUCUGAUUACCCGGAAAGAUAUUUACCAUCCUGAUUUUACAGAGAAACAGUUCUACAAACAGUUACAGUGUCCCGCUCUGACUCCAGGAAGUGAAAAUGACAAUGUCAGCCACUUCUCUGAACUGCAACAUGGAGAAAGUGACUAGAGGCUAGUGACGGACUACAGAAAGAGAGAAACUGAAAGGACAAAGAAAGGGGGGGAAGGGGGGUGGCACCAGAUCUGAAUCUACCUGACUUUGUCGGCAACCACCAGUUUCAGUGACUCCUUUUCAAACUUACUUACAGGAAACAUACAUCCAAAAAUGUCCAUAAAGUGAGAAAAGUCCUGCAAUUAGGGGAUAGAAAUU